rnacentral:rRNA from 1 species
GUAGUCCACGCCGUAAACGAUGGGCACUAGGUGCUUGGGGGAGCGACCCCUUGAGUGCCGUCGCUAACGCAUUAAGUGCCCCGCCUGGGGAGUACGGCCGCAAGGCUGAAACUCAAAGGAAUUGACGGGGGCCCGCACAAGCGGUGGAGCAUGUGGUUUAAUUCGACGCAACGCGAAGAACCUUACCUAGGCUUGACAUGGCCGAGCAACCUCUUGGAAACAGGAGGCCUCCUUCGGGACUCGGUCACAGGUGCUGCAUGGCUGUCGUCAGCUCGUGUCGUGAGAUGUUGGGUUAAGUCCGCAACGAGCGCAACCCCUGUCUCCAGUUGCCAGCGCGUCAUGGCGGGGAC